CCUACGGGAGGCAGCAGUGAGGAAUAUUGGACAAUGGGCGCGAGCCUGAACCAGCCAAGUAGCGUGAAGGAUGACUGCCCUACGGGUUGUAAACUUCUUUUAUAAAGGAAUAAAGUGACGCACGCGUGCCUUUUUGUAUCUACUUUAUGAAUACGGAUCGGCUAACUCCGUGCCAGCAGCCGCGGUAAUACGGAGGAUCCGAGCGUUAUCCGGAUUUAUUGGGGUUAAAGGAAGCGUAGAUGGGUUGUUAAGUCAGUUGUGAAAGUUUGCGGCUCAACCGUAAAAUUGCAAUUGAUACUGGCAGCCUUGAGUACAGUUGAGGUAGGCGGAAUUCGUGGUGUAGCGGUGAAAUGCGUAGAUAUCACGAAGAACGCCGAUUGCGAAGGCAGCUUACUAAACUGCCACUGACAUUGAUGCUCGAAAGUGUGGGUAUCAAACAGGAUUAGAUACCCGAGUAGUC
rnacentral:rRNA from 1 species